CAUUAAUAUUUUAAUUGGAACUUUGCAUCAUCUCAGGUAGAACUUGAGUCUCCUGUCACUAUAUUUAAACAAGAAUGUCCUAAAAGAUUUCUAUUUUCUGAAAAUAGCCUCUGCUCUCCCAGUGGUUGUUGCUUGCUUACUAAAGAAAUAUGUAAAUCUUUGAUUUAAGCUUUUAUUACACAGUGAUUCCAUUCUGCCACUGUGACCAAAAGUAUCUGAUUGCUGAUCAAAUUCUCUAUAUUCGUUUCACCUUUCCCCCACUCUCUGUUAGGUUCUGAGCUCAUGCCCAAAGCACUGUCCACCAGGAUAGUGGGAGGCAUUUGGUGGUUUUUCACACUUAUCAUCAUUUCUUCGUACACUGCUAACUUAGCCGCCUUUCUGACAGUGGAACGCAUGGAAUCCCCUAUUGACUCUGCCGAUGAUUUAGCUAAACAAACCAAGAUAGAAUAUGGAGCAGUAGAGGAUGGUGCAACCAUGACUUUUUUCAAGAAAUCAAAAAUCUCCACGUAUGACAAAAUGUGGGCCUUUAUGAGUAGCAGAAGGCAGUCAGUGUUGGUCAAAAGUAAUGAAGAAGGAAUCCAGCGAGUCCUCACCUCUGAUUAUGCUUUCCUAAUGGAGUCAACAACCAUCGAGUUUGUUACCCAGCGGAACUGUAACCUGACACAGAUUGGCGGCCUUAUAGACUCUAAA
rnacentral:sRNA from 1 species